GGGCCGGUGACGCAAUGGUACCGCAUUCUUCUGGUAUAGAAAAGGCUCUAGGUUUGACUCCUAGGCAGUUCC